GACGAACGCUGGCGGCGUGCUUAACACAUGCAAGUCGAGCGGUAAGGCCUUUCGGGGUACACGAGCGGCGAACGGGUGAGUAACACGUGGGUGAUCUGCCCUGCACUUCGGGAUAAGCCUGGGAAACUGGGUCUAAUACCGGAUAUGACCUCCUAUCGCAUGGUGGGUGGUGGAAAGAUUUAUCGGUGCAGGAUGGGCCCGCGGCCUAUCAGCUUGUUGGUGGGGUAAUGGCCUACCAAGGCGACGACGGGUAGCCGACCUGAGAGGGUGACCGGCCACACUGGGACUGAGACACGGCCCAGACUCCUACGGGAGGCAGCAGUGGGGAAUAUUGCACAAUGGGCGAAAGCCUGAUGCAGCGACGCCGUGUGAGGGAUGACGGCCUUCGGGUUGUAAACCUCUUUCAGCAGGGACGAAGCGCAAGUGACGGUACCUGCAGAAGAAGCACCGGCUAACUACGUG
rnacentral:rRNA from 1 species